rnacentral:rRNA from 1 species
UACGUAGGGGGGCAAGCGUUGUCCGGAAUUAUUGGGCGUAAAGAGCGUGUAGGCGGCCAGAUAAGUCCGCUGUGAAAUCUCGAGGCUCAACUUCGAGCUGUCGGUGGAAACUAUCUGGCUAGAGUCCGGAAGAGGAGAAUGGAAUUCCUGGUGUAGCGGUGAAAUGCGUAGAUAUCGGGAGGAACACCUGCGAUGUAGAUGGCUUACUGGACCGUAACUGACGCUGAGGCACGAAAGCGUGGGUAGCAAACAGG